rnacentral:rRNA from 1 species
GAUGAACGCUGGCGGUAUGCUUAAAAAAUGAAAGUCGAAAGGAGGAUGCGGAGUUAGGGGAGGACGGGGGAGUAACGCGUGAGAAUCUGGCUUGGGGUUCGGGAGAACCACUGGAAACGGUGGCUAAGAAAGGAUGUGCCGAGAGGUAAAAGAGAAAUUGCCUGAAGAUGAGCUCGCGUCUGAUUAGCUAGUUGGUGAGGUAAAGGCUCACCAAGGCAGCGAUCAGUAGCUGGUCUGAGAGGAUGACCAGCCACACUGGGACUGAGACACGGCCCAGACUCCUACGGGAGGCAGCAGUGGGGAAUUUUCCGCAAUGGGCGAAAGCCUGACGGAGCAAUACCGCGUGAGGUCCUCCUUCUCUUGGGUUGUAAACCUCUUUUCUUCGGGCAGAACAAAAUGACGGUACCUAAGGACUCAGCCUCGGCUCCCUCCGUC